rnacentral:rRNA from 1 species
UACGAAGGGGGCUAGCGUUGCUCGGAAUUACUGGGCGUAAAGCGCACGUAGGCGGCUUCUUAAGUCAGGGGUGAAAUCCUGGAGCUCAACUCCAGAACUGCCUUUGAUACUGAGGAUCUUGAGUUCGGGAGAGGUGAGUGGAAUUCCUGGUGUAGCGGUGAAAUGCGCAGAUAUCAGGAAGAACACCCGUGGCUAAGGCGGCUCUCUAGUACGGUACUGGACGCUGAGACGCGAAAGCGUGGGGAGCGAACAGG